UGUUGGAUUUACUCUAACCUGGCAUUAUUUACUUUAGUUUUUUUUCCUUUUUUUUUUUUGGUCAACAACCUUAAAUUAUUUACCUUUAAAGUUUCACUUGAAAAAAUAUGGAAGUGACUAAAAGAAGACUUCUUCAAUAUUUUAUAAUUGAGAUUCUUAAGUAGAAACUACAUUUAAAAAAUGAAAGUAAGUUCUUCUGUAAAUUGAGGCUGUGUGCUUUACACAGCAUGGCUGUGUUUAACAUAUAUCUCUGUGGUUUGCAAGUUUCUUUUCUUUUCUUUUUUUUUUUUUUUUUGCUUCUAUCCACAUUUAAGUUCUAUUUCCUAACAGGGAGCGGUGGUGGAAAAUCCUCACUCAUUUUUAUAAUUGGACCAUAUUGGUGGAUGUUAUUUGCAGAACCUUUUUAACUCUUAACGAUAUCAAGAUUGGGCUUCUACUUAUUCAUCAGAGGAGAGACCACACACUAAAACCUACAAAUAACUGUACAGAAACUAAAUGAUGUAAAAAGGUCACUACCAGCAAUGGUUUUUAAAGUUAUCCACCUUUGAAAGUCUCAUCGUUAGAAUGUUCUUUAAA